UACGGGGGGGGGCAAGCGUUUGGUUCGGAAUUACUGGGCGUAAAGGGCUCGUAGGCGGCCAACUAAGUCAUACGUGAAAUCCCUCGGCUUAACCGGGGAACUGCGUCUGAUACUGGAUGGCUUGAGUUCGGGGAGAGGGAUGCGGAAUUCCAGGUGUAGCGGUGAAAUGCGUAGAUAUCUGGAGGAACACCGGUGGCGAAGGCGGCAUCCUGGACCGAUACUGACGCUGAGGAGCGAAAGCCAGGGGAGCAAACGGG
rnacentral:rRNA from 1 species